CCUGUAUAGAAUCGCACAAAAGAACAUAGUACUACGUGCCAGGACGUGGCAAGAGGACGUAAUCGGAGAUGGUGGUAACAGAGCAGUGACUCGUGUUAUUCUACAAUAACUCAAGAGACUGAUCCUCGAUGGGAGAUUUGAACGUGAAAAGCAGAGGAGGCUUAAUUCUUUGCAAUCCGGAUUACGAAUAAUUAAAAAUAGACAAAAUUUUGACGACGCAGCGCAAUUCACUAAUGCGUUUAACGCCUUCACAGGUAUUGUCCGACACAUAAAUCUAUUAUAUAAAUUUGAGCAUUAAUAAAUUAUAAUUUGAAUAAUUUAUUAACGUUCAUGUUUUUAGAUAUUUAUUACAGUUAGUUCAAACGAUCGGAUACAUUCAUAUGUUUGUGUUAAUUUCAAGUUAUUAAAAAUAAUCUUUAUUGAUGUUAUGAAAUAUCAUAGUAGGUUAGAGAUGCAGUAAUAUUCUUAACGUGAUAAUCCAGGUGAGCUGACGUUAUUUUAUCAUUAUUGUAAAACGUCAUAAAAAUUUGAUGUCAAACAACGUUGACAAACAACGUUAGCUUACCUGAAAUAAGACUGCAAAGAGUUAAGAUUAUCGGAAUUAGCUGAAAAAAGAAGUUGGAAUGGAGAAUGGAGAAGCCAACCAAGACAAUCGCCUAAAGUUUCUACAACUCCAAAUCUCAACGGUAAUAAAUAUUUGAGAUCAAAUAAUUAUUAGUUUGAUAAGAAAAUAAUUUUUGUUUGAUAAUAAAACAAUUUUUGUUUAUCAUUAUUGGUAAUAGUACACUGCGAUAUAUCAUAAAGAUGAUCUUUAUUGAAUUAAUUUUAGAAAUCGAUAUUACUGAAAUAUCAAAAAAAUUAAUAUAACUGAAAUUUUAAUCAGAUAACUAUACAAGUAAUUAAAAAAAUAUGAUCCACGGUAUAUAAACAAAAGUAAACGUUUAAUUUAAGAAAAAAACAUGCUACGAUGUAUAAAUUUAUAUUCAAUGAUUACAUCGCUUAGAUUUAUAAAUAUUUAAUCAACUCAUUUUUGCUAUAACAGAAGUGUAUAAAGUGUACAGAGACGAAAAAUAGCAAAAAUAAAACAAGAACAAAAAGAAAAAGGGCAGAAGUAGAAAGACAGGAGCAAGCAAAAGUUUGGAAGAGAAAGUAGUCUGAAGGAACUAUGUGUAGGAUCAGAGAAUAGAUGUCUUGCUUCUGAAACGAUCUGAGGCGCAGAAUGGAUGGUUGGACAGACAGAUGGAUAAAUAGUUAAAUGAAUGGAUGAACGGAUGUAUCAUGGAUAAAAGGAUGGAUGAAUGGGACAAAUAAAUAAGUGGAUAGAUGAGUAAACGGAUAAACGUAUGGAUGGAUGUAUGGAUGAAUGGACGAGUGGAAUUUUGCGGAGAGUAAUUUGAAAAUUCGAGAGCAAACGGGCUAAAUUAAUGUCACCGACCUAGAUUUCGAAAGAGAUUACACAUCUUCUUUCCGUAUCCGAGAGAUCCGAGCGUGCAUCGUAGUGGCGGCUUUUAGGACCUCCGGACGAGUUUCGAAUCGCGACGGGUUCGUGACUAAUUUGCAAAAAGGAGACGCCUGAAAAACGGUCCGCAUCGACCUUAUAUCCGUUCACGACACAGGACAUAAAACCGGAGCGUCAUCACGAUCAAUUUUCUUUUAACGCUUUUCAAUUUUGUUUUGUUUUUAUUAAAAAUAACGUUUAUCGCGUUUAGAAAAAUGUCUCGACCAAAUAUCGAAUCGAAAAAGAAUGUAAUUUUCUGAAAUCUUGCAAUUAGUUUCAGAAAGUAACGUUGGACUUCAGAGUCCCAGUGAGGCAAGUAAUUAACAGCCUGUUUGAGUAAUAAUUUAUAAUAGUGAUAUUCUAUCCAUUUUCAUCUAUAACUAGAAGAUAAAGAAUUUAAAUAAUAUCUAAAAAAAAUAAAAAAAAAAAAUAAAAGUGAUUGUAAUAAAUCAAGUUUUUUCGAAAGCACUGUAAAUCCUCGUUAUUUCAUAGUAUUCACAAUUGAAAAGCGUUAAAUAGAUGUUUUCACUUUUUAAUGACUUAUACUUUUAAUGUUUAAUUACUACUUAAAACAAUUAUAGAAACAUCGUCACGAUUAAAGAUAACACAUGUAUAUCUAUAAAAAAGCGGGACAUACCUUAAGACUUACUACAAAGAUACUACACUCUAAAGAUUAAGCGAUAAAAUUUAAUGUUAGCUUAAUAAUGAAAAUCGUACAGCUAACAUAUGUGACGGUGGCUUAGUUAAAUCUUACUGUAUAAACCGAGCGCACUUACUUCUGGCUAAUUUAAUUAAUUAAUUAAUCCUUACUCGGUGAUCGAUCUUACUGCGCGCCAUCUCGAUUGCUGGAAAGCUUAAAGUCACCGCUAUAAAAUUAACAAAUUGUAAUAUAUAAUCAAAACUAUGGAGAUACAACCGGCACGAGGUACGCGCAUGGGGAGAUUCCGGCCGAAAGUUGUGCGCGUCCACUCUUGCACCCAUUCCCUUGCAUUCUCUUUCGCUUUCUGCCAUUCUCUCGCACUCUUUCUUCCCCAUUUCCCGUCUACUCGCGCACUCAUGGAAAAACCUGUUUCUCUCGGCCGUUCGGAGGACAUCGAUGGUCCUUUUUAGCGUCUAUAAGGAUGGUAAUUCGUAUGUUGGGUCAAGGAAAAUCGUUGGGGACCAGGGGCUGCGUCUCCGUUGGGAAUGAAGGCCGGACUUCCGGUUUCGACGUUUUUGAAUUUGGGGAUCGGGAUAUCUGCGGAGGAAGAAAAGGUAGGAAAGAUCGUUAGAGCUCGUUUCAUCUCUGGGAACGCACUUACCUCCCUCGAGAGCCACUCCUCCGGAAAUAAUUCUCGAGCGAGUUUCGUGCAACGGUCGAGGAUAGUAGAGAUGACAGAAAAAGGAUUAAAGAGGGGAGAGAGAAAGGUGGACAAGGUUCGAGUAUUUUUCUCGUCGAGGAUGAUCUUACUUCAAGUGGCUGAGUAUACGGUCUCAUGAAGCUCCUAAUUUAACCCUUUAACCGAGUAUUCGUUUUCAUAAUAUUAACACUAUAAUUAUAUCUAUGUCCAUUGCAGCCUAAUAAUCUAAGUCUUAUCUAAAAUUAUUAUUUACGAUAAUAUGCGAAUUCAAAAACAUCGUACAUUAUAAUAUAUAUAUAAAUAUAUAAGUCUCUAUAUCAAAUAGCUUAAAUUAGAAAUCGUAUUAUCUAAAAAUUUAACCUGAGUCUUAUUUAAUUGAAAAUUAUAUGUGUAUUUAUAAAAGUGUCAUUUUGAUCGAUGCACUUCUAGACGAGAUUUUUUCGUCAUUUACGUAUAUAUCUAUAUCUACAUAUACGUGUAAGUUAUAUCUACAUAGUAAUAUAUGAAACUAUGUUACGAUCUUUAACGUUGAAAAUUAUACGCAUAUUAAAAGUACGAACGCCAGAGAAAUAUUUUAACUGCCUGCCCGGUUAAUGGGUUAAGUGUACUUAGAGAUUAAGCUUCGAUUUACAUGUCAACACUAAUGAUUCAAAUGAUGCAAAUCUAUUACGGAAUCAUUAAACUAAAGAGAAAGCUUUAAAAAAAAGUUUUUAAAACAAAUCUGUACUUAACUUGCGCAUAGUAGCUUCAAUCAUGUUUAAAUAAAUAUACGGAAGUGCUGACAUGUCUAGUACCAGAUCAACUCGAAACUGAGACUUCACCGUUGCAACGCGAAAUAAUUCGUAAUAAAAAAAAAUGCAAACGUUCUUUCCAGUGUAACAACUCUGGAUAUAAUAAUUAUAUUAUACAGAAUGAGACGCCUCAGAUUCGAGAGAACAUGGCAGGAUAUGUUGGGACGCGCAUAAAACACUGCACUAAUUAAAAAAGCUUGUCUCCACCGUAUCCGGUACGUUCUGUCUGCGGCAAUGAAAAUCCAUAGAAUCCAAUCAAUACUUUUUUAACAGUGGACCACCUCUGUAAUUUCGUUCUCUCGUUAAUGACAGCGGCACCGUGCAUACGAAAAUUGUCGCGAUAUCGAUUCGAUAAAUGUCCGCAUAAAAAGUGUCAAAACUGCGCGUCAAAAUUUUUUCACGUUUAAGAUAUAUUAUAAAUAUAUCCAUGAUAUAUUACUUUUGUAAUAAAGUAUCUUUUCAAGUAGGACGUUGACGUGGUCGCGUUUCGAUUGCGCCCACAUUAUCGCGUAUGCACGGUGGAAGUCGCAAUGCGUGAGAUAAUUGCAAAACAGAAGCGGCAAAAAGAAAGUAGAAGGUCGUGUGGAACGCAUAUCGGUGCCGAUGGCACUGAUCCGAGGGAUCGAAGGGGAUCGAUCGUCGGACACAGAUGCACCAUCGUAAUUAAAAUUCUAAGGAAACACAUGUAAUCCCUCCUCUCUCGCGCACUCGCAUGCUCGCUGUCAUUCAUACCAUGUAUAUACAAAUUAUAUAUAUAUUAAAUUAUAUAUAUAAAUUGUAAUUAUAUAUAUAAAUUUAAAACGAAAAAAUUCUUUAAAAUGAUAGAUACUCGAACUGAUCACUGCCACUCACAUACUGACAUCCCGCGAUAAUAACUAUAUGCUAGUACGAUCGUCAUUAGAAGAAUUUAUGCUGUGCAGUGUUUUAAGUCUCUCAACCACAUGAAAUAGUAACUAAGUAAGGUACGAUCUAAUUUUAAGUAAAGGGAUCGAGAUUAGUUCGAUUAAUAAGAUAGAAAUUUUCAUCAAUAUCAUUUUCUAUUUAAUCAUAAUUUCUCAUAAUCUAUACCAGUGUGUAUUUUUACGAAUAAUGAUCCAUUUUUUCUCUAUAUUAUAUCAUAGUAAUCAGCAUAUCAACUUAUCAUCAUUAUAUCAUUAUAUAUAUAUAUAUAUAUAUAUGUGUUGUAUAUAGAUUUAUGUAUAUAUAUAUAUAUUUAUUUAUUUAUUUAUAUAAUAUUAUAUACGUCUCAUAAUGAUCGUUAUUAAUAUUAUUAAUAUAUCUUAAGUAUCAAUUAAUCAAUUAAUCCACUAGAAACACCGUUAAGCAUAUUAAUAUAUAUAUAUUUUUUAUAUAUAUGUGUGUGUGUUCAAUGAAUAAUAAUAAUAAUAAUAGCAGUAAGAAUAAUUAUAGUAAUAAUAAUAGUAUAAGUAGUAGUUGUAAUAGUAAUAAUAGUGGUAGUAAUAAUAAUAGUACAGUAACUAUCAUAAUAGUACUGUUAUUUUAUGUGUCGUCGAGAGUGGGGGGAGGGAGUAAGGGCGUAUGGUGUAUGACGUACUCGUAUGGGCUAAAAAUAACAUGACAAAAUGACGAAAGCAAUGUAUGUACGCGCGUGUGUGCAUGCGUGCGUGUUCAUGUGUGUUCGUCCACGCUUACUGACAAAAAUUAAAUAGCAAGGUAAUCACUCCCGAAUUGUCACAUCUCAUUUAUUCAUACGUUUAUACGAUCGAUUGCAACCGAGUACAAGGAAUACAUUUCGCAGAGCAAACAUGUAAUUUAUUGUAUUUGGCGAUGCAAUCAAUUACACGUAUGUGUGAAUAAACAAAAUGUAUUAAUUAAACAAUUCACGAGCAGCUUAUUUGUUCCUUAACGUUUGUCGGCAAGCGUAUAUGUGUCAAACGCAAAAAGGAACAACGAGAAGAAAUCAGCGGAACGAGUCGAUGUCGAUCUCUUCUAUUUCGACUACCCUAUCUUUACCGUUACACAUCAGAUUGAUAGAUAUCCUUCCCUCGAAGACACGUCAAGGAUUCUUCCG